UUGAAUAAACUGGUUAAAGGUGCCUUGUGGCUUAAAAUGGAAACCUGGUGCAAAACCGGUACGGUCCCGCCGCUGUAAGCAGCUUUGCAAGUCAGCAGCCUGCCUUUAAUGCUUUCCGGUG
rnacentral:ncRNA from 2 species